rnacentral:rRNA from 1 species
CGAACGCUGGCGGCGUGCUUAACACAUGCAAGUCGAGCGAUGAAGUUUCUUCGGAAAUGGAUUAGCGGCGAACGGGUGAGGAACACGUGAAGAAUCUGCCCUCCACUUUGGGGUAACACCGGGAAACCGGUGCUAAUACCGAAUAUUGAAACAUAAGUGGCAUCACUGAGUUUUGAAAGAAUUUCGGUGGAGGAUGACUUCGCGGCCUAUCAGCUAGUUGGUGAGGUAAUGGCUCACCAAGGCAACGACGGGUAGCCGGCCUGAGAGGGCGACCGGCCACACUGGGACUGAGACACGGCCCAGACUCCUACGGGAGGCAGCAGUGGGGAAUAUUGGGCAAUGGAGGAAACUCUGACCCAGCGACGCCGCGUGCGGGAUGAAGGCCUCGGUGUAACCGCUUCAGUGGAAGAAGCGAAAGUGACGGUACGUA